rnacentral:rRNA from 1 species
UACGUAGGGUGCAAGCGUUGUCCGGAAUUAUUGGGCGUAAGAGCUCGUAGGCGGUCUGUCGCGUCGGAUGUGAAAACCCAGGGCUCAACCCUGGGCCUGCAUUCGAUACGGGCAGACUAGAGUUCGGUAGGGGAGACUGGAAUUCCUGGUGUAGCGGUGAAAUGCGCAGAUAUCAGGAGGAACACCGGUGGCGAAGGCGGGUCUCUGGGCCGAAACUGACGCUGAGGAGCGAAAGCGUGGGGAGCAAACAGG